AUAAUACUCCCUCCGUCCGGAAUUACUUGUCAUCAAAAUGGAUGUGUCUAGAACUAAAAUACAUCUAGAUACAUCCAUUUCAAUGACAAGUAUUUCCGGACGGAGGGAGUAGUAG
rnacentral:pre_miRNA from 1 species